AGAGUCAACGCUGGCGGCGUGCCUAACACAUGCAAGUCGAACGCGAAAGCCCCGCAAGGGGCAAGUAGAGUGGCAAACGGGUGAGUAACACGUGGGUGACCUGCCUUCGAGCGGGGGAUAACGUCCCGAAAGGGACGCUAAUACCGCAUAACAUCCUGCCUUUGAAGAGGCGGAGAUCAAAGCUGGGGAUCGCAAGACCCGGCACUUGAAGAGGGGCCCGCGCCUGAUUAGCUAGUUGGUGGGGUAAUGGCCUACCAAGGCAACGAUC
rnacentral:rRNA from 1 species